rnacentral:rRNA from 1 species
AUUGAACGCUGGCGGCAGGCUUAACACAUGCAAGUCGAGCGAGCGGCGGACGGGUGAGUAAUGUCUGGGAAACUGCCUGAUGGAGGGGGAUAACUACUGGAAACGGUAGCUAAUACCGCAUACCAUCAGAUGUGCCCAGAUGGGAUGAGCUAGUAGGUGGGGUACUGGCUCACCUAGGCGACGAUCCCUAGCUGGGCUGAGAGUAUGACCAUCCACACGGGAACUUAGACACGGUCCAGAAUCCUACGGGAGGCAGCAGUGGGGAAUAUUGCACAAGGGGCGCGAGCCUGAUGCAGCCAUGCCGCGUGGGUGAAGAAGGCCUUCGGGGUGUAAAGCACUUUCAGCGAGGAGGCGUUACUCGCAGAAGAAGCACCGGCUAACUCCGUGCCAGCAGCCGCGGUAAUUC